rnacentral:rRNA from 1 species
GCAUAUCAAUAAGCGGAGGAAAAGAAACCAACAGGGAUUGCCCUAGUAACGGCGAGUGAAGCGGCAACAGCUCAAAUUUGAAAUCUGGUCCUUCGGGGCCCGAGUUGUAAUUUGCAGAGGAUGCUUUUGGCGCGGUGCCUUCCGAGUGCCCUGGAACGGGACGCCACAGAGGGUGAGAGCCCCGUAUGGUUGGACACCAAGCCUAUGUAAAGCUCCUUCGACGAGUCGAGUUGUUUGGGAAU